ACCAACCAGGCCCCUGACACGGCCUAUAUCAAUGCAUUGGAAUCAUGGUAGACAGGAUGUCCUGGGCGCUAAUAAAUAGCGCCCACUGUCAAAUGCGAAAACAUCAACAAUUUUUUGUUUAACGUUUAUUUUGGUUUGUUGAUCAGUUUUUGGAAUCAUUUUUUCCAGCGUUUAUCAUCACAAAACACUUCAAACUCGCUUUAAUAUUCAUGUACGGUAAGAGGAGCAUGCGAUUAGUUGAAUAAAGCAACACAACAAACACGCAUUGUGAAUGUGAUUUCGUGUGUGGCUCACAACAUCAAACAAAAGCUGCGUUUGUUGAUUACACGCUCGUUUUAAUUUACACGAAUAUGAGUAUAAGGCAGUUAGAUGUUGGCUACGAUAAAUUUCAUUGAUGCCAGGGGCUUGGUACCAACAUAAUUCGAUCCAGGGGGUGCGACACUCUAAUCUUUUUGGAAUCACUUUUAAAGAUUCGAAAUGAUUCAAAAAGAUUCGAAAAGAUUCGGCGUGAUUCAAGAAAAAAAAGUUGGCCCGACAGUGAUAUCCAAAUAACCACAACUUUUAGUUCAGUGUUUGUUUUGAUCUGGAGAGCGCGAAGCCUUUCGUUUUCUUCUCUUGCUGUGUAGUAAAAUAAAGUGCCGACAAGUGAAGGAGGAUGAUGGACUCCAACGUAUGGCUCAAAGAAGAGGUCAUCGACCCCGUGACGGCCGCGCAUACGAUGACUGAAUUGUUUAGCAACGAACCACUCUCCAUUUCCGCCGUACAGCAAAUAAAGUGUCAAAGCGUCAAAGAUAGACCACCACUUCCGACAGUUCCACGAGAUUACACAGGAUCUUUCGUUUCGACGUAUUGCCGUAUCCAGACUUACUUCGAUGAGCAAAUUGCGACAAGUUUUAUACAUAUAAUUAUUUAAUGUAUUAUACCAUUAUACAUAUUCUGCCUAUGAUCGCAUAAUUGUCCCAUAUGAAUAGGAAACCCAGCAAAGAUGGGACUGAUAUUCGAUCAUGGGUAGUAUUGCUGAUUCAAAAUAAAUAUUACGGGGGUGGGUUUUUACUGGGUUGGGUGGUUGCCACUUAAUUUGUUCGAAAAUAGACCUUUUGGGGCUUAGACAGAGGGUCCUUUUUGGGCACUACACUUCUUAAUUGUUGAUUAAAACCUAUCGGUAACUUUCAGAGCAUAAACUCAGUCGGCGAUCAGAGUUAAGUAGAUUUACUAUGCCAUACGAGGUACGGCAGAGUAUGAAGUUUGUUUGAGUUUAAAAAUGUUCUUAUAGCAAAAAAAAAUCCGGUGCUCUAUUAGCUUAUGCUUCCAUUGAUUAAAGUAAUCAAAUUUUGUCUUUGGGAAGGUUCACCAAGUCCUCCUUAAUUGCCCGGUGAAGCAAGUGAUCAGAAUUCGUCAUUACGAGGGUUCACCAAGUCCUCCUUAACUGCCCGGUGAAGCAAUUGAUCAGAAUAAGUAUUUACAAAGGUUCAUCAAGUCCUCCUUAAUUGCCCGGUGAAGCAAGUGAUCAGAAUAAGUGUUUACGAAGGUUCAUCAAGUCCUCCUUAAUUGCCUGGUGAAGCAAGUGAUCAGAAUUCGUCAUUACGAGGGUUCACCAAGUCCUCCUUAAUUUCCCGGUGAAGCAAGUGAUCAGAAUUGGUCUUCACGAAGGUUCACCAAGUUCUCCUUAAUUGCCCGGUGAAGCAAAUGAUCAGAAUUCGUCAUUACGAGGGUUCACCAAGUCCUCCUUAACUGCCCGGUGAAGCAAGUGAUCAGAAUUAGUCUUCACGAAGGUUCACCAAGUCCUCCUUAAUUGCCCGGUGAAGCAAGUGAUCAGAAUUAGUCUUCACGAAGGUUCACCAAGUCCUCCUUAACUGCCCGGUGAAGCAAGUGACCAGAAUUAGUCUUCACGAAGGUUCACCAAGUCCUCCUUAACUGCCCGGUGAAGCAAGUUAUCAGAAUAAGUGUUUACGAAGGUUCAUCAAGUCCUCCUUAAUUUCCCGGUGAAGCAAGUGAUCAGAAUUAGUCUUCACGAAGGUUCACCAAGUCCUCCUUAACUG